rnacentral:rRNA from 1 species
ACGAACGCUGGCGGCGUGCUUCACACCUGCAAGUCGAACGGUGAAGCGCCUUCCUUUUUGGUGGGUGUGGAUGAGUGGCGAACGGGUGAGUAACACGUGAGUAACCUGCCCCCUUCUUCUGGAUAACCGCAUGAAAGUGUGGCUAAUACGGGAUAUUCUGGGUCUGUCGCAUGAUGGGUCUGGGAAAGAUAUUGUUUCGGUGGGGGAUGGGCUCGCGGCCUAUCAGCUUGUUGGGGGGGUGAUGGCCUACCAAGGCGGUGACGGGUAGCCGGCCUGAGAGGGUGGACGGUCACACUGGGACUGAGACACGGCCCAGACUCCUACGGGAGGCAGCAGUGGGGAAUAUUGCACAAUGGGCGCAAGCCUGAUGCAGCGACGCCGCGUGAGGGAUGGAGGCCUUCGGGUUGUGAACCUCUUUCGCCAGUGAAGCAGGCCUGCCUCGUUUGUGGGUGGGUUGACGGUAGCUGGAUAAGAAGCGCCGGCUAACUACGUG